CCCACCAUGAAGUGGUUCAGCUCCACCUUCCUGCUCGCUCUGCUGGCGACGCUGCUGGCGGUCGCCACGGCAGCUCCUGGAGGAGGAGGAGGCGGUGGCGGUGGUGGUGGCCGACAUGGAGGCGGUGGCGGCGGCGGCGGCGGCGGUGGUGGAAGCUGCCACUGGUGGUGGUGUAGGGGGAAGUAGCAUCACCACUGUUCUCCGAAAUAUACCGAUCUGAUCUGAACGGACUGACGGACCAAACUGAACACUUAACCACUGCAGGAUGAUGAAGACGACCGCGGCGUGUAGCUUAGAUCUACUGAUUAAUUGGCAACGUUGGCGAUGCAUCCAUUCGGUCAUUAGCAAGUUGGAUGUGCCUCGCAAUACACAUAAAACUUUUUUGUGCUUCCGAUGCGUUUCUUUGCUCUGCCCUGUAGCUACAUGCCAAGUGAACGGUUGAUACCAUCCAAUGACUGUUUGUCAAGCAUCUGCUCUCGUAUUGAGCGUCGGAUAGAUUGUAUUCGUCUUUCGACUUACUGGAACGGCUCGGCACAAACGGCAAGUUGUUACAUACGAGCACAAAUAUAUAUGUGCAAGAGGUUCCGUGAUGUAGCAGAACUUUAGCACGAUUAAAGAAAGUAAUAGACCAUGUCUAACACUCGCGUAGAUUUUACUCUUGUUCAUAACGUGGACUCGUUGGAAAUGGUGUCGAUGGUAUCCUGUUUUUUUCCAAAUCCAGAAUAAUAGAGCUUCGUUGAAAU